rnacentral:rRNA from 1 species
CUACGGGAGGCAGCAGUGGGGAAUAUUGCACAAUGGGGGAAACCCUGAUGCAGCGACGCCGCGUGAAGGAUGAAGGUUUUCGGAUCGUAAACUUCUUUGAUCGGGGACGAAUAAUGACGGUACCCGAAGAACAAGCCACGGCUAACUACGUGCCAGCAGCCGCGGUAAUACGUAGGUGGCAAGCGUUGUCCGGAUUUACUGGGUGGAAAGAGCAUGUAGGCGGGAAUACAAGUCAGAUGUGAAAUGCUGCGGCUCAACUGUAGCCCUGCAUCUGAAACUGUAUUUCUUGAGUACUGGAGAGGAAAGCGGAAUUCCUAGUGUAGCGGUGAAAUGCGUAGAUAUUAGGAGGAACACCGGUGGCGAAGGCGGCUUUCUGGACGGUAACUGACGCUGAGAUGCGAAAGCGUGGGGAGCAAACAGGAUUAGAUACCCUCGUAGUC